rnacentral:rRNA from 1 species
GCUGCGGCAUGCCUAAUACAUGCAAGUCGAGCGAACAGAUGAAGUGCUUGCACGUUCUGACGUUAGCGGCGAACGGGUGAGUAACACGUAAGGAAUCUACCUAUAAGCGGGGGAUAACAUUCGGAAACGGGUGCUAAUACCGCAUAAUAUCUUCUUCCGCAUGGAAGAAGAUUGAAAGACGGCUCUGCUGUCACUUAUAGAUGACCUUGCGGUGCAUUAGUUAGUUGGUGGGGUAAUGGCCUACCAAGACGAUGAUGCAUAGCCGACCUGAGAGGGUGAUCGGCCACAUUGGGACUGAGACACGGCCCAAACUCCUACGGGAGGCAGCAGUAGGGAAUCUUCCGCAAUGGGCGAAAGCCUGACGGAGCAAUGCCGCGUGAGUGAAGAAGGCCUUCGGGUCGUAAAACUCUGUUAUAAGAGAAGAACGAAUUGUAGAGUAACUGCUGCAGUCUUGACGGUAUCUUAUCAGAAAGCCACGGCUAACUACGUG